ACACUUCAAACCAUAUCAAGUGUUUCAAUACAUCCUUCAAACAAGAAUAUGAAGCCUUAUACAAUCUUCAUUAUCACAAUAAUCUGCAAAACAAUGGGAAAUCAAGUGAUUGUGUUGAAAGGACUUUCCGGAAGAAAAUGGCAAAUACUGCAUUGGUGCAUGUAUACUUCAGAGAUAUGGGUUUAACUAAGUUUACAACUGAUCAGCUUUACGGGUGGCAGGAUAUAGUAGCUCAAUUUGGUGGAACUGUUGGCCUGUGCAUUGGAUUCAGUUUACUUAGUGGGUGUGAGCUGAUCUACUUUCUCCUCUGCAGACGAUGCUUUAAAAAAUAAAAUAGUAUUUUCGUAGACAAAGAGUUUUGAAUUUAAACCCUAAAUGAAGACCGAGGUUUAUUCUUUCACUUGUAUCUUACGCUAAAGGGUUACCCACAAAGGAUGCGAAUGUAAAGACGACGUGAAAAUCUUUUAAUUUGACGUUUCUUAGGUUAAAUUAAGUAUUCUGCCACGAAUAAAGUCUUUUUUAGUCUUUUCAAUGAUCGGACAAAGAAAUCAAAAAAUUACAGUACAGUCGUCUUUGAAGUCUCCAUCAUUGUAUUAAUUAUGUGAAGGACUGACAGUAGUAAAUGCCAUACUCUUAAAAGUUUGUCUAAUUUGUUUGUCUAGUUUGUGUAAUUCAUCCCCCAUAUCUACAAUCCCUUGAACUAUCAACGCCUCUAACACUGGGAGCGAUCUGGUUAGCUAUCGGUGUCAAUACAGACACUCGCAAUCAAUUGAUCAAUGUCUCAAACAGGACACAAUCCACAUGGCUAAAAUCCUGUGAACCAUCAUCGCCACUACACUGGGUGCUAUCUCGUUUGCUAUGUCAACCGGACUAUAGCGAUCUAUUGAUCAAUGUCUCAAACAGGCUACGAUCCACAAGGCUACAAUCAUGAGAACUAUCAACGCCACUAACACUGGACACAUUUUCAUUUGCUAUGUCAACUGGACAAUAGCCAUCUAUUGAUCAAUGUCUCAAACAGGACAUGAUCCACAUGGCUACAAUCCCAAGAACUAUCAACAAUAGCGAUCCGGACAAUAGUGAUUUAUUGAUCAAUGCCAAUACUCAAGGCACGAUCUCAAUUUGUAUGUUUCAAUGAAAAGGUAAGUUACAUAUUCACAAUAUUACGCAUUUAUAUAUUAAUCUGAACACAAUACGCAGCUAGUCUUAGUCGAUCGCAUUACAAGUUUUACGUAUUUAAGGAUUAACGAAGUUAGAUCCUUAGACAAUGUUUAACAUAUUUAUUAUAGUUACGUUCAAAGUGCAAUUAUUACAUGACUCUUAAACACUGACCGUCUGAUAAAGAGAAAUUUUGAUUUGAGUCUUAAAGUGAACAUUAUGGAGAGUGGUUUGAUCUACAGGGUGUCCCACGAAACAUGACAGUUCUAGCGACAACCUUUAAAAUAAUUUGCCGUAUUCAUUCAUUAACCAAAUUUAGAAGUAGAAUUAUUAAAUUAUUAAUCACACAAAAUGUCCUAGUUUUGCAAUCCCAAAAAGUGGUCUGUCUUUUUCGUGCACUUUCAAAAUUACCGGGAAUAUAAAAUUAAUUUCGACCAAGAUCUAUGAUCAUUUCGUUUCUCAACAGUCAUGUUUCGUGGGACACCCUUUUUUAAAAGAAUAUUCUAGAAAUGUGUUCAAUUGUUUGCUUGCUGUUUACAGUGCUUGAUUCAACAAAAUAAAUAUUUU
rnacentral:lncRNA from 1 species